GCAGAUGCCAGAGACCUCGCUCCUCUGAUCCGAUCAGCUGAUUAGAACCUCAUGGAACCAGAAGGGAAGCACUUUCAGGUCAGAUCUUUUCUGUCACCAGGAAUCCCAGUGAAGGCGAUCCCACACCAGUGUCCGAAGGUCCCACGCCCUGUUCCUGUGUAGAUCUGAGUCCUGGCCGGGUCCUCACGGGUGCAGCAGGACCAUCUUUUCACAUGUUCCCCCUGACCUGAACCUGGUCUCUGUUUGAACCCUCAGCAGGAGCCCAGGAAUGAUGGUCUACCACGAUAGGACUGGACCUGAUCUCCAACAGGACCACUGUCUCAACCAGGUUACUCCAGAACACGUCCCUGUGAGCCCAAACCCUCCUGAAGUUCCUGGCUGGUGGUGUUGUGUUUCCUGCUGUAGGGUCCAUCCCUACGGCCCAUGGUGCAGUGCUGCAUCUCUGGUCAGUUGGUAGUCUGAGAUGAAGCACUGUAGCUCGGGACGAAGGGCACAAAACCGGUCUGAUACGCCAUCCAUCCGUCCAUCAGCACAGGACACGUGGACCAAGACUUGUGGUCCCUGGCCAACACCAGCCAUGGGGAUCUGCACGCCACCCCAUUGGUUCUGUGACAUGUAACGGUUUAAAAAAGGCUCUAACCUGAAGAUAACCUGGGGGACCCAGAAACCCGUCGUCUGGCUCCUCUCUCCUGGGGUCCAGUUUUCCCAGGAAUCCCUUGACCAAUCAGAAAGGGGGAUUCCUGGAAAUACUGAUCUUGGAGGCGUGGCUUAUCAGCACUUCCAGACAAGUUUACCAUCAGUGUGACGGACUUGGUAUUGAUGUUUUAACUCAUCCAGGUGAUGAUCAGAUGAUUGCAAACCAAGGUGUGAUUGAGUUUCCACUUUUUAACUCCACUGCCUGACACGUCACAAUUGUGUUCACGUCUGUGUUUUUUUUAUUUUUUUACCAAGGAGAUAAUUCAAAUGAAAAUAAACAAUUGAAAGACCA